GAUGAACGCUGACAGAAUGCUUAACACAUGCAAGUCAACUUGAAUUUGGGUUUUUAACUUAGGUUUGGGUGGCGGACGGGUGAGUAACGCGUAAAGAACUUGCCUCACAGCUAGGGACAACAUUUGGAAACGAAUGCUAAUACCUAAUAUUAUGAUAAUAGGGCAUCCUAUAAUUAUGAAAGCUAUAAGCGCUGUGAGAGAGCUUUGCGUCCCAUUAGCUAGUUGGAGAGGUAACGGCUCACCAAGGCGAUGAUGGGUAGCCGGCCUGAGAGGGUGAUCGGCCACAAGGGGACUGAGACACGGCCCUUACUCCUACGGGAGGCAGCAGUGGGGAAUAUUGGACAAUGGACCAAGAGUCUGAUCCAGCAAUUCUGUGUGCACGAUGAAGUUUUUCGGAAUGUAAAGUGCUUUCAGUUGGGAAGAAAGAAAUGACGGUACCAACAGAAGAAGUGACGGCUAAAUACGUGCCAGCAGCCGCGGUAAUACGUAUGUCACGAGCGUUAUCCGGAUUUAUUGGGCGUAAAGCGCGUCUAGGUGGUUAUGUAAGUCUGAUGUGAAAAUGCAGGGCUCAACUCUGUAUUGCGUUGGAAACUGUAUAACUAGAGUACUGGAGAGGUAAGCGGAACUACAAGUGUAGAGGUGAAAUUCGUAGAUAUUUGUAGGAAUGCCGAUGGGGAAGCCAGCUUACCGGACAGAUACUGACGCUGAAGCGCGAAAGCGUGGGUAGCAAACAGG
rnacentral:rRNA from 1 species